rnacentral:pre_miRNA from 1 species
UUUGUACUCCCUCCGUCCGGAAUUACUUGUCAUCAAAAUGGAUGAAAAUGGAUGUAUCUAGAACUAAAAUACAUCUAGAUACAUCCAUUUCAAUGACAAGUAUUUCCGGACGGAGGGAGUACUUU